rnacentral:misc_RNA from 1 species
GUUAAUGUGGUCUAAUUCAGUUACAAUUAUUGAAUUACAAGUAUCAGUAUAUAUGUAUGAAUACAAAUGUAAUAUUUAAAGGAAGAAAUUUCUACCCCUUAACAACUAUAUGUUGUUAUACAUAAAAGACAAAUAAAAUCGGAAUUCAAGAGGUGAGUAUGACAUGGUUCACCCACAUGGUACAAAGAGCCAAAGAAAUUGAUAGAAAAAGACCUAAUUUCUUCAGGAAAACACUAAACUGAUUCCCACCUCUAAUGCUAACCAGAAAAUCCUUUUCCGUCUUCUUCUCAUUCCACUUGUUUCUUUCUUCCUUUUUCUUGGGCUUGGCAUUGGCACUUUCCGAGAAGCCGUGCAUCAGUUUAUUCUCAUUUCCCACAUUUUCUCCCAGGUAAAAACAGUGCAUCAGGAGAACCAGAACCAUGCAAACAACAGUUGUUGCAAAUUUCUUCCAAGGAUGUAUUGACUGGCUGAUUUCCAGGAAAUUAUUUUCCCUGGAAAAUGUGUUAUUGGACCUUGUCGUCUCAUCUAGUGCACUGUGCAUGUCUACUUUCCUUAUUGAGAAGCUAUCAGUCAUUUCGGGGUUCAGGUGGAUCUUAACAGUCUGGGAAGGCACUAAUCGGUGAAAAAAUGUCUCAGCUGCCUGGCGAGUUGAAACAAACAUUCCAUGAUUAACUUUUAUCUCCUCAACAACCUCGAAGCUUGGCGAACUUGCUAAAUCAUCCACAUUUCCAUCAUCAAUGAAGUAACCAUUAGGAUCAUCAUUGAUGAAUCCAAGUGAAUAAUCAUCUGUCCCAUUGAAUCCUAAGCAGUCUCCUCGAUGCUCAUUUCCUUGAAGUUCAUUGUCUUCCCUUAUCUGAAAAGUAGAAAUAUUUUCUAUCGGGACAACCUUGUGUUCCUCCAUGAAACUCUGAUGAUAGAAGGGGGGAAAACAUGGUUAUUAUGAAGCAAUAAGUUUAUUUCACGGGUAAUCAAUCUUAAUUUUAAUCCCUCCACAAUUCGAAUGGUAAGCACAGUUUGAUCCUAGAUUUAUUGGGCCAAGCAGUGGAACUGGAACGCGUACCUUCUCUGGCUCUUCAUUUGACAUUCCUACCCAUCUCAAGUUUUCUGUCACCCCCUCUGUCUUGAAAUCUUCAUCCAAAUUUUCAAUUUCUAUGGACCUUAAAUUAGGAUCUCCCCAUGAUUUGUUCAUACAUUUCAUAGAGUACAUGUCGCUAUAGAGAUGACCAUGGGCAUCUUUCCCAGCUAUGAAAGUGAAAUCAUUAUUGUCAGCAGAAUAAUUUCCACCCCACGUAUCUUGAAGAUUAUUAGAUUGAUUUAUCAGUUCCUGCGAUGCAUGAGCUACCGAAAGGAUUUCCUGCAGAAUACCUGUUUGACUUGUGUUUUGAUCAUGCAUCGGAGUUGAGUGCAUCACUUUCAAGUCAGUGAGUCCUACUUGAGGGAAGUCCUCUACCUCCAGUGGAGGCAUUGAAAACCUAUGCUGCAACCUUGCAGAAUCUAAUGAUAUGUCAACCUUAGAUGGUGGGUAAGGAACAUUUCCAUAACCUGAAAAUGAUGGAGAUGAGAAGCUAAAAUCAUUUUCUGACAAAUAUUGCUUCCAUGUCCCAUCUCUUGUUUCCCCAAGAUGAAGAGGGAAUCCAUUAUUGGCAAUGCUGGGUGAGCAUGUCUCUAUUGGCAUAGGGUAAUUUGAACUCUCAAAAUCUUCACAUCUUCCUUCAGAAUAUAGUUCCAUACUAGAAGAAAGUUCACUAGCCAUUUGAUUUGAUGUUGAGGCAAAAUGUUCUGAAAUCUUGGGGAUAUUUGCACUCUUCUUGAACACACGACAAAGUGCAUAUGCAUCCUGCAGGCCAGAAGCAAUUUCGCAUUCUCUUUCAUCGAGGCGAUAUUCAUGCAUUACCCAAUCUGUUCUACAACCAUGGGGGGCUCUACCUCUAUAGUAAACUAGGGUUUUCUUCAUGCCCACAGGACGCGUGUGGGAGUUCACUUUUCUAUCCUUCCCUGUGGCCUUCCAAUACCCAGCUUUUGUUGCGCGAUUAGUUCUUGAUCCAUUUGGGUACUUUCGAUCUCGAGGGCUAAAGAAGUACCACUCAAGAUCUUUGCUGGGUAGUAAUGAUUUCCCUGGUAAAUCCCAUGGCUCACACUUGUAAAGAUCAACUUCUGGGAUGAUCUCCAACUCAAUCUUAUGUCCAUUGAUCUUUCUUUUGAGAUAAUAAGCAACGAGUUCCUCAUCAGUAGGGUGGAAACGGAAACCAGGAGGCAAUGAAACAGGAGCCAUCUCUUUCUCUCUUUCUUUGGAACUUCUUCUGUAUCUUUCUUGAUAAAGAAAAUCCAAAAGGUACAAAAAAUGAAGGACCUGUCUCGUUUCAAAGAAAAAAAACAACGAGACGAGCCUUCAAAAACCAACUGGGGCAGAAGAAGGUCCAAAGCCAAGAGAAAGGAGAGGGAGAGAGCGAGAGAGAGGUGAGGCUGGC